rnacentral:misc_RNA from 1 species
UUUUCUAAGCCAGUUCUGAUUAGAUUUCUGGCUGUUGAUCCAAUCAUAGGGUACAUUUCUGUACCAACAUUCGUCUUUGCUCUUUGGCCAUCUGAUCGGCGGCUUGUACCCCGCAGGUGGAGGAACCAGGCAUUCUUUCCUUUCAGUCAUAGGUGGACAGUGUCUCUCCAUCAAGGUCAGUCUGUAAGUACCAUAUUUCCUCCACCUCUUUGGAUCGGUGCAUGGCG